rnacentral:rRNA from 1 species
UACGAAGGGGGCUAGCGUUGUUCGGAAUUACUGGGCGUAAAGCGCACGUAGGCGGUGUUCCAUGUCAGAGGUGAAAGCCUGGGGCUCAACUCCAGAAUUGCCUUUGAAACGGGAACGCUUGAGUCCGAGAGAGGAUGGCGGAAUUCCUAGUGUAGAGGUGAAAUUCGUAGAUAUUAGGAAGAACACCAGUGGCGAAGGCGGCCAUCUGGCUCGGUACUGACGCUCAGGUUCGAAAGCGUGGGGAGCAAACAGG